GGUCAGACGCAACCAGGACAGACAGAUGAACAACAAAAACACUGGUUAAAUGACUCAAAAGGUUAGGUUUUCCGGCAUUGGACUGAAGUAGUUCAAGCGCUCUGAAAGAAAAUAUGGAAAUGAAGCAUAUUUGCUUUUUGAGUCUAAUGCCUGAAGAAAGAUCAGUUUCAACAUUUAAUGGUAGAAAGCUUCUGAAGGACUCACACUUUGGCUGUCUGAAAGCUACUCUCAUGAUCUGGACAUGUGGAGUCUGGUUCUAACAGCAUUGGAAGAGACUCACAAUCUUUUAUAGAAACCUUUUGGUGUUGGGUUUUUCACAGUGCAAGGUCCUUGUCAGAUGUCAGAGGAGAUCUUCAUGCAGUCUUCAUUUUCAAAGAUAUAGUGAAAAUUUGAUCCUCAGAUAACAAGAAAAGAGGAACAAACACAGUGCUGCACUGCCUGUGGAGCAUCCCAGCAAGAAGUGCGUGGCUCAGGAGUGAUUUCCCAUCUUGUCUCCACUCUGGCCAGGGUACAGCAGCAAGCAAUGAUGGGCACGGAUGCUGGCACUGCCCUGAUGGCUCAGGAGGAGAAAUGGAAACAAGGUUGUCCUCUCCUGCAACCUCUUCAUGCUCUCCUACUGCAGUCCCAGGUGCUUGGAGCAAUGCAGAGCCUGUUUUCGCACGUGUGCUGCAGGAAUUGUGUAGGCAGUGAGCAUGGAAAAUAAAGGGCAACUUGUGUACUUUUUUUGUCCUCUUUGUUCCCAGGAAUUGUUCUGAAUAACAUA